rnacentral:lncRNA from 1 species
UUUUCCUUGUCUCAAUUAUAUCGACGAAUUAUUUCAAAGAUAGGAAAAUUACAUAAACGAAGAGCAUGAGGAUUAAUCCUGCGAUGCUGGUUGCACGCAUUCUCUUUAUGUUUGCUGCUGCCGUCGCGAUGAGCGAUGCCAUUAGAGAUGUCCCUACUACUACUACUCAUCAUCAUCACAUCACCCAAGGGGAGCCCCAGCCGCCAGGAGAACUACCUAAUGCUGUCCAAGGGGAGCUCGAGUCACCUGGUAAAGUCGUUCUAUUAGAGCCUGAGCCGCCAGGAGCACAACCAAACAACGUCGUCCAAGGGGACCCCGAGCCGCCUGGUGCACAGCCUAACAAAGUCCUCCUAUUGGAGCCCGAGCCACCGGGAGCACAACCUAACAAAGUUGUCUUAUUGGAGCCCGAGCCGCCUGGUGCACAGCCUAACAACGUCGUUAGAAAGGAGCCCGAACCGCCUGGUGCACAACCUAACAAAGUAGGGAGCCUAAGCCGCCGGGGACACACGACCUAGGGAGAGCCAACAGUGGGACUUAAGGGACUAUGUUCUAGAAAUAAACUGUCGCUUCAACUUUUUAUAUAUAAAUCUAAUGAAAUGAAAAUCAUAGUAUCCAUCCAUUUUAAGUUUUUGUUUACUUAGACCAUUUUCGUCUCAAAAUUUAAUUAACAAUCUUUAAAUGAGUUCAGAUAACAAUAUUAACAAUUUUAACAAUUAAUUUAAUGAGCAAUAUCUAACCUGAAUUACUAUUCAUUUCUAACCACCUUCAUUAAUAACAUUUUUAACAAUUUCUAUUCAUCAUUCAUAUAUAUAUAUAUAAUUUAUAUAUAUAUUUUAACAAUAUUUUAAAAGAUAAUAAAAAAUAAUUUAUAAUGUAAAUCCUAAUCAAAAUGUUUUUUUAAUAAAGGGUCAAUUUUAUGUGUCAUUGUUAAUUUAGCAAACAUUGAAUCAUCUAUAUUAUAGAUGAUUGAACUUAAACCAUCAAAAUUUGAAAUUUCUCAUCUAAUGGCCCAUAAUAGUAUUAUUUAAUUAAAAACCUUACAUCCCUAGCCUCAUUUUUCAGUACAGCCGUCAUUUUCAAAAUUUGAUCCCCACUUUUAUUUCUCUAAAGCGACGGUAUAUCUGUAUUUCUGACUGCAAAAGAGAGCGGCCGGAAAACAGCUCUGUAUUUCUAGCUGCAAGAGAGAGCGGUUGUACACAAAUUUGAUUGUAGCGGCGGUGGUUUUGAUUUACUUCCGGUAAGAGAAUCUGGUUUAGACUAUCUGAGAUCAAGUUGGUCAAUACCAGGUUUGUCCGUCGAUUGGGUUUUGUCUUGAUUUGUGGGUGUAGUAGUUGUGCUCGUUCCGAUUCGUUUUGAUUUGUGGGUGUAGUAGUUUUGCUCGUUCCGAUUCGUUUUGAUUUUGAAUUAUAAUAUACUUCAUCCGUUCUUGAAAUUAUUUUGAAUAUGAUUUCGACCUUUAUUCCCAAACUAGUUAUGCCUAGUUUUAAUUUGUUUGAAUUAUGAUUUUGGUCUCCAAUCUUCACUCCAAUCUCUCCAAGGUGCUCCAAUUUCCAGUUGGGCCUUUUGUUCUUCGAUCGUAAUUUUCUCCCUCGUCCGACCUCCGUUUGAGCUCCGAUCGGUCUCGUCGGAAUUUUCUCGUCAUCAUCUAUCCAACGGAUACCUGCAAGCUCAUAUGCAACAUGAGAAAAUGGGUCGAACGGACAAUGCUACACGAAACCCUUAUUUCUUCCAACCAAUCACAUUGAAGGGUCGAAAUAAGGUCAAACGACGUCAACAACGGAUUAAGAUGGGGUCAAAUCGACAACAAAUAAUCGUGCUACCAAUAAUUUUGCUAUUUUGAUUAAUUACGUAAUUUAUAUUUAUUUUGAUUUUGCUUUUUCACUCAACAAACACUUCUUCCAAUUCUUCUUCACCAUCCAAAAUUUUAAUAAACUUGCAUUCCACUACACAAAGGGCGAUGACUAUAACUAUACUAGAAUUAGCAUAUCCUUCCACUACCUUGUAAUUGUUUUUUUGACAAGUAUUGCUCCAAUACCUUAGUGAUCUAGGUGAUGAAAAAUUAAAGGACGACAUUUUUUAGAUCAAUUUUUUCUACCAUAUCUUAACUAUCUGAAUUUGAUACAAAGUAUUAAUAAAAGAAAUCUACACAUGAAUGCAUAUAAUAUAAUAGCUAAGUAUGUAUUUUAAAAAUAAGUAUUCAAAUAUGUAUAUGUGGAGAAAAUUAUGNNNNNNNNNNNNNNNNNNNNNNNNNNNNNNNNNNNNNNNNNNNNNNNNNNNNNNNNNNNNNNNNNNNNNNNNNNNNNNNNNNNNNNNNNNNNNNNNNNNNNNNNNNNNNNNNNNNNNNNNNNNNNNNNNNNNNNNNNNNNNNNNNNNNNNNNNNNNNNNNNNNNNNNNNNNNNNNNNNNNNNNNNNNNNNNNNNNNNNNNNNNNNNNNNNNNNNNNNNNNNNNNNNNNNNNNNNNNNNNNNNNNNNNNNNNNNNNNNNNNNNNNNNNNNNNNNNNNNNNNNNNNNNNNNNNNNNNNNNNNNNNNNNNNNNNNNNNNNNNNNNNNNNNNNNNNNNNNNNNNNNNNNNNNNNNNNNNNNNNNNNNNNNNNNNNNNNNNNNNNNNNNNNNNACUAGCUUUUUCAGUGUACGUACGUAUCAAAAAAAUUUCUUCUUAUUUCUGUGUACUAGCUUUUUCAAUAUAUGUACUAGACUUUUCUCUACUUGUUUAUGUUGUGUUGUACUAGCUUUUGUUUUAUAUAUUUGAGUUUUCUCAACUCUCUCCACUUUCCAAACAACAAAAAUUAAUNNNNNNNNNNNNNNNNNNNNNNNNNNNNNNNNCUUACCAACAACAAAAAUUAAAUACAAUAAUCUUAGUAUAUACCAACAAAAAUAAAAUUCAAACCCGUGAAACAAAUAUACAUUGAAAAAUAUAUGAACCAAUUGGAGAGCCCUCGUCCCCGACCACGCCACACCAUUUAAUUUCGAAAUUAUCCUUAACUAGUUUUUACUUACGUACUACUACGAGUACUUAAAAAAUUGAUCAAACUUCAAAUACCAGAGCAAUUUUAAUUGAUAUAUGAAAUUCUAAAGAUUAUUAGAGAUGUCUUUCUCCAAAAAAGACAUUGAUAUCAAAAUAAUCACUGUAUACAUGAUUAAUGAUUAUGGUGAAAUACAAUGCAUAUCCCAUCACACUGAAUAACUAAUUUUAUCCAUCAUCGAUCCUAACCCGAACUUUCCUUUUCCCGUCACCGGAAUCAGAUAGCAAAUAUCACAUCGAAUCAUUCGUUGGGUCAAUUCACGGUGGAAGGGGAAGUCAGAGGAAACAGGGGAAGCAGUUCCGGGGGGUCCACAUUCCCCCUCCGUGGCGUACUCAACCGAGGAGACGGGUGCAAAUAAAACCUCUUAUCCGCUAUUGCCCUCUCCUCCUCCGUCGACGGCGACGGCGACGUCUCCGCACUGCUCGAGAAAAACGGCGAACCCAUCAUUAGCGGCGUCACUGGGCUAGCAACGGGAGAGUAAUAAGGGGAAGAACAGGGGCUAUUGCUGCUACGGAGACUCGCUCGGCUCAGCUUGAUCUCCAGCUUUCUUACCGUCUGCCGCCGUUCCUGAAGCUUGUACGGCGACCGGCGAGGCGAAUUGAUGUUGUUGAUGAGAUUAUAAUUGGUGGGUCUUGCAGCAUGAUGAUGAGUCCUUGAAGGGUGAGUCACCGGAAGCUUGGCGUCGGAGUCGGCCGCUACUCCGGUGAGCUUCUGGACGAGCUCCCGGAAAGUGGCGGCGUCGGCUUGGACGAACGUCGUCGUUGAGACUGGAGACAUCGGCGGUAGCGAAUUGGAAUUUGUGACCCCGUGGCGGCGAGUACCCAUCUGAGGUUCCAUUACAAUUGAGAUAAUGUUGAUUUUUGAAUCUUGGAGAAAGAGGUCGUUGAUGAUGAAUGUUUUUUUCAGGUGGGAUGUGUUUGUAUAUAAGAGAAAGAGAGAAGUGUGGGGGAGAUUAUUCCAAUGGUUGUUGUGAUGUGCAAAUGGGGUUGGAUUUAAGGGUGAACAUUCGGUUACGGUUUUAGGUUAAGGAAAUUAAUUGUUAAUUUUGGUUGAAUAAUUGAUUAAUUUAGAUUGGUUAAUUGGUUCAGAUAAUUUUUAUUUAGAAAAAUGAUUUAUCAAUUUUUAAUACAAUAAAAUUUUUAUUAUUUAAUAUAUUUGGGACUAUAUAAAUUAUUAGUUUAUAAUAAUGGUUAAUUAAUCGAUGAAUUAAUAAUUACUAAUUUAAAAAGAUUUUUUNNNNNNNNNNNNNNNNNNNNNNNNNNNNNNNNNNNNNNNNNNNNNNNNNNNNNNNNNNNNNNNNNNNNNNNNNNNNNNNNNNNNNNNNNNNNNNNNNNNNNNNNNNNNNNNNNNNNNNNNNNNNNNNNNNNNNNNNNNNNNNNNNNNNNNNNNNNNNNNNNNNNNNNNNNNNNNNNNNNNNNNNNNNNNNNNNNNNNNNNNNNNNNNNNNNNNNNNNNNNNNNNNNNNNNNNNNNNNNNNNNNNNNNNNNNNNNNNNNNNNNNNNNNNNNNNNNNNNNNNNNNNNNNNNNNNNNNNNNNNNNNNNNNNNNNNNNNNNNNNNNNNNNNNNNNNNNNNNNNNNNNNNNNNNNNNNNNNNNNNNNNNNNNNNNNNNNNNNNNNNNNNNNNNNNNNNNNNNNNNNNNNNNNNNNNNNNNNNNNNNNNNNNNNNNNNNNNNNNNNNNNNNNNNNNNNNNNNNNNNNNNNNNNNNNNNNNNNNNNNNNNNNNNNNNNNNNNNNNNNNNNNNNNNNNNNNNNNNNNNNNNNNNNNNNNNNNNNNNNNNNNNNNNNNNNCAAUGAAAAAUUUCUAAACACUUUGAUUCCUACAAUUUCUAUUGAUAAUACCUACAACAUAAUUUACCUUUAAUUCAUUUUAUUUUAUACAUUUAUCUUUACAAAUGUAAUAAUUUUUUUAGAACUUGUUCAAUUUUGCCUAUAGAGCAUUGCUAGUUAAAAUGUAAAUUAACAAACACAUUCUUCCAUUUCUAAUAAUUACUAAUUAUAUAUGGCCUCAUCUUCCACCUCACUUUAACAAUUGCUAAAGUUUGGAGAUGGAAAUACCCUAAUACUUUGAGAUUUAUUUUAACAAAACAAAAUUCUCUAAUGACUAUUCUUCAUAUAUUCAUACCUAUUUUAACCAAAACCGGUCUUAAUUGUGACCUACCUCGGUCGGUCAGUUGACAAUUAAUUAAUCGAUCAAUCAGUGAAUCUAUUUCAGUUGACGUACAAAAUAUAGUGGAUAAUUAAGUGCCCGACCGAAACACGGCCUUUGGAUUUGGGUUGGGUGGUUUGUUUCUAUUUGGGGGGUUAUAUGAUUAAAAUGAAUUGGUUUGAAAUUUGGUAGCAAGUGUUUAGAGUUUAGGAGGUUGAGGGUAGUCAACCUAUUGGGGAGGCAGGCAUUUGUAUCAACUGUACGUUUGUAUCAACUUAGUUGUUUUGACUGAAACAAUUUAGUUUAUAUAAAAUAAAAUUAGUUAUUAAUGGGGGAGGGGAUGGGGCGUUGACAAAACGACGUGUCUUAUUAUUAAUUAGGGUGGGGAGUGAGCACAAGAAGGAAGACCAAGCAUUGUUUGACUCGGUGAGAGUUGUUUAAUUUAGUGUAUGAUGAAACGGUCAAGUUGACUCCUAGUGUAUACGCGUCAAAGAGAAGGGAUCGUUGAUGUAGGGGGGUUCCCGUCAAAGAUCCAUAAGCUAUGGCCUAUAGGUAUCUUCAACUUUGAUAAUACCAUAUUUCAUGCUUGGAGGUAUCCGUAUAUGUUUGAAUUAAUUAUAUUAGGGUUCGCAGAGUUCAAAAAAUCGUUUCAUUAAGUGUUGAUGAUGGGUUAACUGUCAUAGUCGAUAUGACCCAACCGGCUCAAGUUUAACUCAAAUUCAAAUUUAAUUUAAGGAUUAAAAACUUAAACAAUUUUUGUGGGCAUAUGUUCAAUUCUCAAAACAAACGGUUUAACCGUGAUCAGGGUUGGAUAACGGGUAGACGUCUCGUUGGAUAAUGAGCGAAACAAGCAAGAAAAUAGCUCUUUUCAAUAGGAAGUCUCCAAAGCUCACAACCGGAUAUCAUCAUCGCCGAUGAGGUGGCAGAGGAGAAAAGAUAGACAGGAGGAAGAGAAAGAAGGAGUCUGCACAAUACAGAGUUGGAGGAGAGAGAAAAUAUUUUAUUUAUAAAAAAUUUAAUUUUAAAAUUAGUAUUUUUUUAAUUNNNNNNNNNNNNNNNNNNNNNNNNNNNNNNNNNNNNNNNNNNNNNNNNNNNNNNNNNNNNNNNNNNNNNNNNNNNNNNNNNNNNNNNNNNNNNNNNNNNNNNNNNNNNNNNNNNNNNNNNNNNNNNNNNNNNNNNNNNNNNNNNNNNNNNNNNNNNNNNNNNNNNNNNNNNNNNNNNNNNNNNNNNNNNNNNNNNNNNNNNNNNNNNNNNNNNNNNNNNNNNNNNNNNNNNNNNNNNNNNNNNNNNNNNNNNNNNNNNNNNNNUGUACAUCCUUUCUAUUUUACCCUUCUUCAAUUAAGAUGACGAUCUAAAAACUCUUAGUCGACCCAUUUUCUUGUUAAUAUAUUACUCUCAUAUUCAUAUAGUCAUUUGAUCGGGUCUCAUGUAUACUAUAUUAGAGCAUCUUCAUCCCAAAAUUUUAACAAUUACUAUGGAGGGUGAGGUGACACCUAAUUAACAAUUAAUGAUAUAAUGAUGAAUAGAAAUUGCUAUUGAUGGAGGUGACUUGAAAUUGUUCAUUAAAAGAAUUGUCGAAGUUGCUUAUAUGGCGAUGUGAACACAAUUAAAAUUGCUAGAUGAAUUUUGUGAUAGAGAUGAGCUUAGUCUCCAUAAUUUUCUAACAUUUAAAUAUACUUUAAGUUUUCACUAGAUUGUCCAUUUAGAGUUACUGCAGUAGUAGAGCAUUGCUAUUGGCUAUUUCUAGUUUCAGUAAAAGUAGUAAAUCGAAAGAGAGUUUUGACAAAGAGGAAUACUAUUUGACGCCCUAAUUUUUGAAUAAAACGAUGUCCUAGACUUUGUAAAGAUGGCAUUGUCCAAAUUUACUUAGUCGAAAAAUUCUCUCACGGUACAUUAUUCUCUACAGUUCUGUAAAUUUUUGCCGACCAGACCAAAAUUUUGGCCGAAAAACCAUCCGGUCGGCUGGGCCUCCUCAGCGGCCUGAUGGUCUUUCGGCCGGAAUUUUGGUCCAUCCGGUUCAAGUUUAUUUUUUAAUUUUUUUUAAUGAUCUCCUUUAAUUGUUUUUCAAGUAAUCACAUUCGUCACAAGGUUUUAACGCUCGUUGGAUGCACUAACUCGUCAUGAGUAAUUCGGUAACUGGUCGUUAAUUUUAUUGGAGAAAUAAGUGAAUGAAUACAUAGAUGUGUAGAUAAUUGAUAAAUGUAGCGUACGUUUUUUGUGUUUAUAUUGUAGGGAGAUUUACUGUUGAAUAAGGGUGACAGAAUCAAUAAUAUCGAUAGAUUUUUAUCCAACGAUGUUUACGAUACUUUAGAGGAAGCUUGUGAAGCUGCAAAGCGAAUUGCCUAGUCGAUUAAUGUCAAGUUGACUAAAGGAUCCAACAAAAUAAACAAGGUAUAACGCGAGUAUUGGGUGUAUCUGUAUUGCUCCCGUAGGCCUGCUCGAAAUCGUAGGGUUUUGACCCACCAAAACGGAUGUCGAAGACCAAGAAGUGUGAUUUCCCCUUCAAAGUGGCAUUGAGGUACCGUGUGGUAGAAGGCGAGUGGAAGUUCUGGAUUGACGGGGUAGGCCACACCAACAAUCCUGCACAACCAAAAGGAUACAACAAUCAUUUUUUCUUGCCAUAUCCUGAAGUUAGCACAGAAACCAAUGCCCUUAUAAGUGAAGAGAAGAGCAAUAGUAGGGACAUGGUUGCAACUCAUAUACAACCGGAUAAGAUCAGGUAUGCUCUGAACAAAAAGUUCACCACUCAUCGGGUGGGUUUCCAGCCUAAACCGAAAACUAUCGGUUUACUGGGCCUUCACUCCCUUUUUUUUGAUUUCGUACCUGAAUAGAAGCUCCAAAUCUUCAAUUUUUCUUUCAGAUAUUCGUUUGUGAGUGUUUGAGUUUGUAAAUAUACACAAUUUUUUAUAUGAAUUUCGAUUUUACAAAAUGACAAUAUCAUAAUUUACUCAAUCUUAUUUAAUUCGAAAGCUACGGAAGAUUCAAUUGACAAAUUACGUCGCUAGUCGGCGCCUAGCCGGGGUUAGACGUACAAACAAGUUACGCCAUCCAACUCCGUGUGGAAAACAAAACCCACAAGAAGAAAAAAUCAGGGCACGGCAAGUUUUUCGUGGCGAAAGUUGAAAGAUCAAACCCCCCAUGUGAUUUAUUUGAGAGAUCCGAAAUCGAAAGCUCCAUUUCUUUCCGCAUUUUAUCCAUUUUUCAUUGCAAUUCCCUCCUAUUUUGCUUUGCAAUUCACUCGGGUUUAGAAGAAGAAGAAGAAGAUAUGAGUAUGUCGAGUUGCUUCUGUUGCGGUAGUGUCAUGCCGGUGAUUGGGACUAAAUCGCCGACCACCACGACUAUAUCUACACGUUCUUCUGCCGGUAAAUCGCCAAUUCACCCACUUGGUACUGUGGCCGGGACGGUUUCAUGUAGGGUUCCAAUAGUCAGGGCUUCUGCCGUGGAUUCGUAUGGGAACUCCUCUGAUUUCACUAAACGUAUGGAGCAGGCUUGGUCAAUAUCUAAGGUAAGCUCCUCAGUUUAGGGUUCUUCACGAGCUAGGCCGGUCAGAUUCUCAAUUUUCUAAUCGAAGAUUUUUGCCAUCUUGGAUUGGAUCUUGAAUUGCACAACUGUGGAAUCGGAUGGAAAUUAGCAUGUAUGAUAUUUUGAAGCAGAACAUAGGUGUCAAAUGACCAUUGCUACGACAUUUCAGUCCAUUGAUUCGCCUGUUGUGAUUAUUUCCCCUUCCAGUUAGGGUUUAGGGAUUAUGUGAUUGAAUUUAAGUGAUUCAGCAAAAGAAGGAAAAUGGUGCAGCUAGUUGGUUGAACUGAUUUGAAUUUCUUGUUUAAAACAAGUUUAGCUCGACUACAGACCUGAAGCCUGGCUGCAUGGACUUCCUAAUCAUUGUGCUACGAGUUAGUAUGUUACUGUUUGUUCUAAAAGACAAGCUCAAGAGCUGCUGCUGUUUGUAAAGUUACUGGGUUUUUGUUGUUGAUGUUUCACUAACCGAGCGAUCACAAUGAUUGCAGCAACCAAGGCCAGUACCAUGUACUUGUUGCGAGUCGAAUGGCAGCGUUGAAUGCCAAUGGUGUAGAGGAACUGGUUUCUUCAUUCUAGGUGAUAACAUGCUGUGUCAAGUCCCUUCCAGAAACACCACUUGUGUUAUUUGUGCCGGCAAGGUGAUAAUUUCCUCAUUUUGAUAAUCUCUGAAUUGCAGCUAGCACAAACUACCAGAACUGAUGUAAGCCUUGUGAACGAUAUCGUGAUAUUUCAGGGGUCCAUGCGUUGCGGUGAGUGCAAGGGAACCGGGUUUCGUGCCAAGUGGUUGGGCAAAUCAGAACCCCCAGGUUCUACCUGAAUCACUGUUGCUGCAGGGUGCAGCUCGGAAACAAGCUUCCAAGUGAUUCAAAUAUUUUUUUCCACAAUCAGGGUUUAUUCAUUGGACUCUUAAGUUCGAUUUCAGCCUGCAACAUUAGAAAUGUAUAUUUUCCACUUGUCUGGCAUCAUCAUUCUUUAGUCUUUACCAAUUCUAUUUUUAGAUGCCUGUCCAGCAAUUGGUACCUGUAUUAAUUAGUACAUACACGAAGACGCUAGGACAAAGAAAUGACAACAAAGAUCGGCAUACUACAAUGCAGAUUGGCUCUAGUUAAUACCGACAUUGGCACGGGGACAUCUUUGGCAAAACCACCAUUGUCUUUCGUGUCGAUAUAGUUAUUUAGUCGUUGCUUUGCACAAUGGCUGAGAAGAGCAAUUUGUUGAUGUCCUGACCAUCCGUGUCCUGUAAUUCAUUUCCUGCAUUAUCGACAUAACUAAUCAAUGGACAGCAGGUCCUCAAAAGUGACCAUCUGUGAAGAAAUUCAGAAGCAGAAUGACCAUCCUGGAACUUUAUAUGUAGAGUAAAAUGGCCAAUAUUUUCAAUUAAAAUCUGGUUAUCUUGAAUUCCUAAGCUACCCAUCAUCAACAAUGAAAUGAGGGUUCCAGAUUCUUACCAGUUCUUGAUCGUACUUGAGUCUUCCACUCAUCAAUUACCUGAACAACACAAAUAAAUGAAUGGUUCAUACAAAAGAUAAUCUCCUGUCACAGAUACAGAUACUGAAAAGAAAAGACUCAACAAAAGACAAGUAGAGGUUUGACAUGAUAUCAGGUUCAGUCCUAUAGAGGAUUUGACACUGAAAGAAAAAAUAUCCAAUAUCAUCUGUUUAAGGCUGCUUUCUGGUCCAAAGCUUCAGAUAUAGUUGAAUGAAUGUAGGUUACGGGUUGCCUCCUCCCCAGAAAUUGUGCGAACACUCUACACAUAGCACUUGGAAACUAACUUUCUAAAAUUGUUCUGAAUGUCGUAGAGAAGUGUUGCAUUUUUCGCACUAGUACCUGAUUGAAGUCGGUAAAUGCAGAAUCCUCUUCGACAUUUGUAGGAGGGAUACCAGUUGAUACUUGCAUCCGAUUUAUGACAUUGUUGCUCCCCAAAAGAGUUGCACGAGCUUUAUCAAUCAAAUCCUGCAGAAACAUACCCAAAGUACUAGUCCUGAUCAGUAUUCACAUCUACCAAAUUAACCAUGGUGAAGUAUAUAUAUAUGCUUAAAUGAAGACAAUGCCAGCUAAGAACACAAACUGAUUGUGCAACUGCUUUCAGAAUAAGUAUUGAUUUCGAUUUCAAUCCCAGAAGGACAAGCCUUGCAGUUGAAUUUUGAUGACCUUUGGAAGGUUAAUACUAAGAAAAGAUCAGCGAAGCAGUGAUUACUGAUUAGUCUCAUCCCAGAGUUAGAUCAAAUAAGUAGAAGAUAGAACCUGCUUCGCAGCAAGUAGCUCACGGCACCGAUCCAUUAACUCUGUAACUUCGUCUUGUACCUUCUUUAUCCUGUUAACCAGCUUUACCGGAUUUGCCUGCACACAGAAGCACAGACUAAUUAGCCGAUUAAUCGAUCCAUGAUCCAAUUACCGAACCAAGGAGUUCGAGCAACAAACACAGCAAAAUCUCGCCAGAUGAGCGGAUAAUCGAAAAACUAAGAUACAUUUGGUUUCGACCAACUUACAUUGUCUGGAUAAGUCCGUUGAAACUCCUUCUCGAGCUUAGAUUGAACAGCUGCGAGAUCAUGGUGAGCUUUCGUCAACAGAUUGACCAGGCCGUCUGCCGCUUGGUUAUGCUCAUGAUGGUGACGAUGCCCCAUUUUCCUCCUUACUUCUUUCCAGGGUUUGAAUUCGUAAUUUCGAUUUUCGAUUGAUUUACGCGCCCAGCUUCCGGAUUUUGAUUUUUGUGGAAUUCUCCGGCACCUUAAAUUCAACGGUUGAGAUUGCUCCCUGCUCUUUGACAUGAAACGAUGUCGUUUCAAGCUUUCGUACAGCUUUGUUUCUUUUUCUCUGUUCAGCGGAUCAGAGAAUUUGCGGGGGAAGAGAUGGCGAACGAAGACGAAGAGAAAGCUCUGGAGAAUCAGCUAGAAGAGCAGUUACAUGAACUGAGAGACUCCCUUGCCGAUCUUGAAGACGCUCUUUCUUCUGAUUCUUCCAAUUCUGAGCUGCUCUCUGUAAGAAUAUACGAACGCGAAUUCAAAACUUUUCGCUUUAGGGUUUCCUGAGAGGUUUUUGCGCCGUGAGAAUUGGCUACGUUGUUAAAUACUUAAAUUGGUUUCUACAUUUGGGGUUUCUUCAGGUUCAGGAGGAGCUUGUUCAGUCGAUCAAAGAAGCGGAGGAUGGGCUUCUUCACCUUAAACGUGCUCGGUUGUUAAGGCAAGUGGAUGUAACAGCAGCAGCACUUCGGAGCUCCAGUCGAAUUCCCAACGAUGUUGAAGUGGUGCAUAUUGACGAUACAGACGGUGAAGCAGCAACACUUCAGAGUUCCAAUCCGAUCGGGGGUAAUGUUGAAGUAGUGCAUAUUGACGAUACAGAUGGAGAAGCAGAACCAGUAGAGAAGGACACAGAUGGAUUUUCUGUUGGAUCCAAGUGUAGGUUCCGUUCUGCUGAUGGGCGGUGGUAUAGCGGAAAGAUCAUAGGGUUUGAAGGUUCUGACGCUGCGAAGAUAUCUUUCCUCACACCUACUUCGGAUAACAUGCUGGUGGGUGGUUCAUUCUUCUUUUUCUAAUUCCGUAGGUUGCUUUAUUAUUCUCUGAAAUGGAACGCCUUUGGCAUUUCUAAUCAUCCUUUCACUCUUUUUUUUAUUGAUGUGUGAUUCUCGUGGGUGAUCUGUGCACUGUUCUUCUGUGCUGGUUUCCAAGUUAUACUAGCUACAAUCUGAAGUAAAAGCUGAUGGUUUUGUAGUCAUGAUACUAAUGGUCGACUGCCCAAGUGCAGAUGUGCAAGUUUUUCCGGCAACAAAGAUGUCGAUUUGGUACUGUUUGCCGCAUGUCCCAUGGUAUGUUGCAUUUUACAUUGCUGGCACAUGGACCAGUGGAUUCUUAAACUCAAUACUUGGGAUCGAACUUCUGUUUUCAUUGAAUUCGAAGUUGGAGUCAUAUGCAAAAGACCUAUGUGCAGUUUUCUGACAAAAGGGACAUUCUUUUUCUUUGAAUGUUGGAUAUUGUUUUGGGAUUAGUCUUGGCAGAGCCCUGCCGCUUUGUUAUUCUUAAAGUGAUUGAAUCUAUGACUGAAUGCUUUACUUGAAACCUUUGUGAACUCGUUUGGUUUGUUCCUGAUUAAGCCUCUAACGUUAAGAUACAGUACCACGCUUUUACACUUUUGACACUCUUAAUUUAGCGAAAUCUUCACCUAUUUACCAUUUUCCUAGUUCCAUGCUUCCGUAUGUGUUUUUUGCUGCACACAUUUUCUCUUUUGCUAUUAUAUCGACCAUUUUUCAAGCUGAUGUAAAUUUGUGUAUGCAGGGGUUGAUGUGCCACUGUCUUCCCUGAGGGAGUAUGUUCCAACAGUCUGGGAUCAGUCAUUUGUGGGGUCCAGCAUUUUUGCAAUAACUAACCGAAGUGUUGGUAUUUGGAGAGAAGCAGAGCUCCAAUCUUGGGAUAAUGAACUCGGGAUGGGAAAGGUUGUUUUCCGUGAUGAUGGGAGCUCUGCUAAGCUUCAGCCUGAAGAUAUGUCAUUAUCUGAUUAUGGACUAGUCAGCGAGGAAGAAGAUGGUGAUGAUACAAGCUCAGAACAAUCCGAUUCAAGUGAUCGUGAAGAAGAAGAAGAAGAAAGCCCCGGAGGCUUGGGAUUUCUUGGGAGCACCAACCAACAAAGAGGCAUCCAAAAGGAAACUGCGAUAUUUGCGAAGUGGGAGAAUCACACCAGGGGUAUAGCUUCCAAGAUGAUGGCAAAUAUGGGUUACCGCGAAGGAAUGGGUUUAGGAGCAUCGGGGCAAGGAAUGGUGAAUCCGAUUCCCGUGAAGGUCCUUCCGGCUAAGCAGUCACUUGAUCAUGCUUUAGAAUCUCAAAGAGGAGGUGAAGAGAGCAACAAGGGAAGUCGUGGAAAGAAGCGAAGCAGAGGUGGGAAGAGAAAACGUGAAAAGAAGUUUGCUGAGGCAGCUAGGGCAGCAAAGGCCUUGGCGAAGAAUCAAGAAGAAACUAGACCAGACGUCUUCAGCUUCAUUAACAACCAACUCGCGAUGAAUGGUGUGUCGGCCAAGAAGGAACAAAGAAAAGGUUCAGGGGAGAAAAAAAUGGACAGACGAGCUCUGGUUGCUCAUGAAGACGAGAUGAAUGAUUUGAGAAUACAAGUAGAACGGCUGGAGGAGAUGGCAAAUAGAAACAGGAAGGAGAAGUUAGUUUAUGAAGCCACCAUUAGGAGGUUAAACGAAGCUCGGAAAGCCUUGGAAGACGCUCAGGCUACUCAUGCUUCUGCCACUUUUGCCAUUGUUAGCAAAGAGCAAGAGAAGAAAUGGCUCAAGUUUUGAGGGGUGUCAUUGUUUCAUAUAUUGGCUUAUAUAUUUAGUGUCUGUACUUCUACGAGUGACUUACUUCAAUAAUUAUUAGUCUGAGAUUUUCAUUCGAGUAGUUGACUUACACAGUUAUGAACAUCAACACUACCACUCAAGCUGGUCAGUGAAUGUUUUCAUUCCCAACUUGAACACAAAUAGGUCUUUGUAGUCCCCUAGUGAGAAUCUUUGCUAGAUGUCCACACGUAUACAUGUGGGCAGUGAUGAUAUCCACCCACUGUCAGUCAAUCUGAAGUUGCAGUCUGGUUCGAUAUGAAAUGUGGUCAUGGCAGCAUGCAGUAGCGUGCAAUAUGGUGCAAUAUGCUUUGACCUUGCGUGAAACACUAAAUUCUUAGUUUGGGAGUGCUGUGAAUAAAAAAUCUGGGGUCUAAUUGCUGUGAGCAAAGAACGGUGUCGUCUCAUCUGUUUGGGAGAAGCCCUUACCAUGAGAGAGAGAGCCCCAUCUCCGGUUUAUUCUCAGAAUCAAACGGGUGGGGGAGUUUGAACAGAGAACUGCAGGCGAAGAGGAGAAAUUCGCAAGUCUUAAACCCCAAAAACCCUAGCUAGAAUAAUCAUAAUAAUUCAAAACAUUCAUUGGAGAGAUGAAGGUAGCCGUGGAAGGCUGUAUGCAUGGUGAUCUUGAAACAGUUUACCAGACACUCCAGCACCUCGAGAAGUUGCACGAUACCAAAAUCGACCUUCUCCUUUGCUGCGGCGAUUUUCAGGUUUCUUCCUUUCCUAGCAUGUUCCUCCAGUGAUUUUCUACUUAGCUCGUGUUUUUCAUUUUGAUUGUGUUUCCCUCCAGGCGGUGAGGAACGAGAGAGAUCUUCAGAGCCUGAAUGUACCGCCCAAAUAUCGAGAGAUGAAGUCUUUCUGGAAGUACUACUCCGGCCAGGAGGUCGCUCCCAUUCCUACGAUUUUCAUCGGUGGAAAUCAUGAAGCUUCCAAUUACUUGUGGGAACUGUGAGUGCUGGGGGUGUAGUAACUUUGCUUCUGUUCAGUUUGUUGUUAUAUGUUAGGUGGUUGCUGGAGUGAUAUGGUUUAGGUUUUCUACCUCAGAUACUAUGGGGGAUGGGCAGCUCCUAACAUUUUCUUUAUGGGCUUUGCUGGAGUGGUCAAGUUUGGUAACAUUCGUAUAGGUGGCCUUUCUGGGAUUUACAAUGCCAGGGACUAUCAUAGAGGUCAGUCUUUCUUAUGUAUCAGGUCUCAAGCGUUGCAAAGAGAUGUUCGAGUUACAUAUGGUUAGAAACUAGUCGUAGUAGUUCUAGUUAUAAAAUUAGUUGAAUUUCGUGUUGGAUGAGCAGGGCAUGAUGAGAGACCACCGUAUAAUGAAAAUUCUAUAAGAUCCAUUUACCAUGUUCGUGAAUACGAUGUACAUAAACUCAUGCAAGUAGAAGAACCCAUUGACAUCUUCCUUUCACACGAUUGGCCUCUUGGCAUCACUGAUUGCGGUGAUUGGCAGCAACUUGUUCGUUUCAAACCGUUCUUUGAAGCAGAGGUAAUUCUAACUUUUGCAAAUUCGUUUUGCAUGUUCCAUUGUUUAUUCAGUAUUUUAGUGUUGUUUGUUCUUUUUAACAUUUGUAGAUAAAGGAAAGGACCCUUGGAAGCAAAGCUGCUGCUCAGCUAUUAGAAAAGUUGAGGCCCCCCUAUUGGUUUUCAGCUCACUUACACUGCAAAUUUGCUGCCCUUGUCAAUCAUGGGUCAAGUGGCCAGACAACGAAAUUUCUUGCACUCGAUAAAUGUCUACCAAAGAGAAGGUUCUUACAGGUAUUUAUUUACUUGUCUUUGAUGAUUUUCAUGGCUCAUGUUGUGAACCUUACCGUGAAAAUCAUUUUGUAGAUUAUUGACAUAGAGUCAAAUCCAGGACCUUUUGAGAUCCAGUACGAUGAGGAAUGGCUAGCAAUAACCAGGAAAUUUAACUCUAUUUUUCCAUUGACAUAUAAAAAUCCUAACUUUAGGUAGGUUUAUCAUCGUACUUAUCUCUUCAUGCCGCUCUAAAGUUUGUCAUUCUCUUCUACGGUUAUUAAAUCUUGCGUUAGUGAUCUUAUAGGGAUACGACGUUGGAGCUCCAAGAUUGUCGUGAACUGGUCAAGAACAAACUACAAGCUAGAGGAGCUAAACCGUUUGAAUUUGCACGUACUGUUCCUGCUUUUGAUCCCAGUCAAUCUAAAGUAAAGGGCUCCCCUGGUAGUGAUGGUAAUGAUGGCUGAUCAAGUAAUUUUAGUUAUGUUAGAUAUCUAUCAUAGCCUGUAGACCCUAAAAUCAUUGCUUUUUUCUGUGUCGCACUUAUUUCUUAAAGUGUUUGAUUGAUUAGUAUCAGUAGCUCCAUGGACAUGCCUGCGUGUUAGUCAUGUCUGUAUCUAAAGAAGUUCUGGUUGACGUAUUGCAGAUUGUCCUAGGAAUCCCCAGACAGAGUCCUUCCUGCAGCUUUUGGAGCUACCAUAUCUGCUAGACAGUGGAUACAUACAUAAAGGAAGCGUUAAUGAUGACAAAACUGGUGUAGUGAUCCGUAAAGGUAAAUAUGACUUUCUAGCACAUUCCUAUAUUGAACCUCUCUUAUUUUCAGUUAUCCUAAUCAAAUGUUUUGAUGUUCUGUAAAAAGUUACUAUAGGAUAUUUUCAUUUGACAAGUUCAUUCUUCAGUUCACCUUUUGGUCUGAAUUCCCUUGUAUUUCAGUCAGCACUUCUGCAUGCUCUUACUGUUCCAACUACACUGAUAGAUUUGUAAUCAUUUGAAGUUUUCCUGUCAUCAUAGUCAGUAAACUCCUUGAAUGUCUAACGCUAAAACCCAGCAUGUAAGAAAAAUUAACCAGUUACCAAGAAGCCUGCAUUUUUUAAACUGUUUUUACAAAAUGUGUAGGUCCUUACGGUGAUGAUCCUGAAGUGAUACCUCUAGAUGAUGUUGAUGAUACAGAUGAAGAGUCCGAGAAGGAUGACCCAGAAGCUUCAGAUGAAUAGCUUUUUGGGACACCGGACAGAGCUGUAAGGAAUUUCUUAACACUUUUGUAUCUUGUAUUAUAUGAUUGCGUUAUCUACAGUUUCUUCCUCAGUAUGUCAAGAAUGAUUGGAUUAUAGGUCUUGUCUACAUAACAUGUAAUUUAUAUAAAUAUCCUGAAGAGAUAGUUUAGAAUUGGCUGAAUUAAUUAUACAUACUACAAUCCUGUUCAGGUUGCUCCUUUUGAUGGCUCUGCUCUGCUUCAGCGUGUUGCUAUUGUCGGUGGGCGUGUAAUGCAGAGAUUUUUGUGGGUUUGGGUUUUUGUACAAUGAAGAGUCAAAUCCCAGUUGGGAGUGGGAAGUUUGCCAUGAGGAGUGUAAUAAAUGAAUUGGGUAAGAGCGAGCUGGCAAGUGAAGUGGAAAAUUUAAAUUGAGUGGGCACAAGACACUUGCUGCUGUCAACUUUUAUUUGAGUAGAAGGAACAGUAGCAAUGAUGGAGGACUGAACAGACUCUUGGAAGGAUGUAGGCGACCAUCCCGAUUUUGAUUAACAAGGUGGAAAAGUUGCCAGAACAGGUGUGCAAGGUGGCAAAACGUUUUUAGCUACAGGCAGAUGUGAACUGUCCUUUGAAGUAUUAAAGGUUUAGAAACCAAGUAUCAACUUUCCUCACUGUACCUUUUGUUUUCAUGAAUGUACACCAUAUGCUGCAACCCUUGUAGAUAGUAACUCUUUCACAGCAACCUUGUUAUUCAAUGUCGGUGUUGCUGAGUACUACGAUAUACACCUUAAAGCGAGACUUCUACCGAAGCAUUAUGCCUCUUGAACAACUCGUGCAAAUGCUACAUUACAUGCUAAUUGUUUACCCAUCAAGUGUAAUGUUGCUGUUGGAACACAGACCAGGCUCUUGCUUUUCAACUGCUGAGGAAGUCAACCGUAAAAAGUAGCACGUAUUAACGAGGAGACAGGCCAGGGAGGAGCUUUUACUGCAGCCAGUGAAAGAUCAGUGGAUAGUUGAGAUUCCAAGGUAUCCGUAUCAUAAUCCUACUGGCUACUACAACUAAGCCAUCUUCCCCCACCCAACUUCUUCAACCAGUCUCAUUAACACCGUACGACCAAAUUUUUUUAUCUAUCCUUGAUGGAGCGGGGGGCCUCUGGUUGAUGGGUCAGGACGAAAGUCAACUGCUCCAACCACCUAGGGAGUCUAACCGCCUAGGCUUCAAUGGCCCUUUCGGAGCAUGGAUAGCCUAAUCCAGCCACAGUAUGUCUCUGCUCGAUAGGAUUUGGCUCGUCGCAACUAGGGUACUACUCAAAGGCUACGUGGUAACAUUGUUGCGGACCGCCUCAAUUGAAGGGCUAAGAUCACUCUGAUCAAGUCAAACACUAGGAUGAAGUCACACUGCCCAACCCUAGUAUUAUAAAUACGAUCCUGCAACCACUACUGGAGGGACAGACAUAAUUGAAGCUCGGUACAUAUUGACGUAUUCUCUUAACAUUCUUACGUCACCUUAUGAAAUCACUACAACACAAUGCAUUUACCGCGAAGGACCCAAAAAGCCGCCACUCUAGACGAAAUGGGUUGAACCAUCCUCCAACAGUCUUUUUUUGUCUCCACCGUAAGAAAUUAGCAGGCUGCCUGCUGAUGUUGAGGACUCACAGUUACAGCUUCUCUGUCGAUCUGAUAGAUAUGGUUACAAAAAAGAGAGAUCAGCAUAAUAACAAGCCACAUUUACCCACUUGCUCCUGACAUCUUCCAUAAAUGCACCACCUUUGAAUGCUUUCCUUCCUACUACUUCCUUCCUUCUUCACCCAACAUAUACAAAACAAAACCAAGUUUCACUCACUACCAAACUGUACCUUAAGUUUCCACUUUCCAGUAAUGGAUUCUUCAUCAACCUCACCGGUCCCAUUUCUGCUCCUUAUUCUCAUUCUCCCCAACUGUUCUUCUGCGACACUGUCCUUCGACUUCUACUCAUCCUCCUGCCCUGCCGUCGACAUGAUUGUAUCCAACACAGUCAGGACAGCUUCCUCCGACGACCCAUCUAUCCCCGGGAAGCUCCUCCGCUUGCUCUUCCACGACUGCUUUGUUGACGUAAGUAAGACCAUAGAUAAAGAUUCAGACUUUAAUUAAUUUGCUGCUUCCAAACUUACUGGAUAAUUAUAAAGGUACAAUCUUUUUCCAGGGUUGCGAUGGAUCUGUGCUUCUGGAAGGGAACUCGACGGAGAGGAGUGACCCGGCUAACGGGUCGCUCGGAGGGUUCGAAGUGAUCGAUUCGGCGAAGAGGGUGCUGGAGGUGUUCUGCCCUGGCAUUGUAUCUUGUGCUGAUAUUCUGGCUCUGGCUGCCAGAGAUGCGGUUGUAAUCUCUGGAGGACCGAAUACUCAAAUUCCGACUGGGAGAAGAGAUGGUUUGGUUUCCUCGGUGUUGAAUGUUAGACCAAACAUUGUGGACACUAGCUUCACCAUGCCUGAAAUGGUCAAGAUUUUCUCCUCCAAAGGUCUCUCUCUUGAUGACCUCGUCAUUUUAUCUGGUAAGUCUAUUUGCCCCACUCCACUCUCGAUCUCAAACAUUGAAAUUUAUAUAUUAGUGAUUUUUUUCAAAUUUGGUCGAGUGUAUUUUUAACUUCGACUUAGUGUUUGACCAUAAACCGAAUAAGGAGUCAUGAAGAGUUUCCACUCUCUUUUCUCAGUUUUGAAUACUAAAUCAUAUAUAAAAUUUAGAUAUUUUCAUUAUUUAACUAAAUUAUAUAUAAAGUUCUAUUCUCUUAUUUAUUUGCUUCGAACAUAUAUCUAUUAAAUUCAAUUGUUACCAUAAUCAACUACUAACCAUACAAAAUAGACCAAAUUCAGAAAAACUAAACCCCGGGUGGCACGUUGAAAUCGGCUAAAAACUAAACCCCGGGUGGCAUGAAUAGUUUUUUUGUAUACAUUAACUUAGACUUUGUUUCUACUAAAAGUGGCCAUUGUUAAGGUUUAGGGGGAAGGUUUGUCGGUUUGUUUCGCCAUAGUUAGGGUUUAGGGGCAAGUUUGUCGGAUUUGAUAAAUCUGAUAGAAUUAGGGUUGUUAUUUUGUGGCCGUGGAAAAAAUAUUAAUUGGUUGGAUGUGCAAAAUUAAAUCCAAUUCCAGCUAUUUGGCUCAUUAAAAUAGGUUUAGGAAAAUGAAUUCGUCAUUCUAUUAAAAAAAUUCAAUAACAUUAGAAAUUUUCGAUACAUGUUUCAAUCUUCGUGAUACCCCGAUACAUUGAGUAAGUUUUGGAGCUUAAUUAAUAAGGAGGGCUUGUUUGUUUUUUUUAAACUUCAGGAGCUCACACAAUAGGAUCAGCCCAUUGCGGAGCAUUCAUCGACCGGUUCCACAAAGAUCCCAAAGGGAAACUGAAUGGGAUCGACUCCUCAUUGGACGCUAACUACGCAAAGGACUUGAUCCAGAAAUGCCCAGCCGGAGCCAAUAACCCAUCACUAAAGGUUGCGAAUGACCCCGAAACCUCGUCGGUGUUCGACAACCAGUAUUACAGGAACCUGUUGGGACACAAGGGUCUUUUCCAGUCAGAUUCAGUGCUGUUGGAGGACAAACAGGCGAGUAAGUUGGUGCGAGAUUUGGCAGCAGACGAGGAGGCGUUUUUCGAGAGGUGGAGCGAGUCGUUUGUGAAGCUUACUAGUGUCGGUGUGAAGACCGGCGAGGAAGAAGGAGAAAUUCGAGCUUCUUGUUCCGUUACUAAUAGUAAUAUGAAUAAGAAGAAGUGAUUAUUUGACACGGUUGGAGUUAGUUGAUUAAUCACAUUUUUUCGUACAUAUGUUAUCACUCAGUUUGGACUAAAACGUGAUGUUUUCGGCAGUUGGAACUUGGAAGAGUGCGAAUGUAAGGUUCACUAGAAGGAUGAAAUAUUUUCCUAAUUAGGGAGCUACUCCCAUCAUGAGUAGAAGUGGAAAUCGGGCGAGAAUGAGACCCGCUCUCGAAUUUUUAAAAUCUCAAUUCUUGACUUUUGUAUAAGAUCUCGAUCUCAUUUCCGAAUUAAGAGUUCCGAUUUGUUCGAAAAUUGGGACCCCAAAUAGUUAUUUUUUCCGAAAUGAAAUACUGCGAUUGUCAAUUUUAUGAAAUCAUAAAUAAGUUGACUUACAUAAUUUUCAAUACUUUAAGUAUAAUCCUGCAACAUACUGCUACUCCAAAGUCGAAGGUCUACUUAAAUACAAUCCAAAUACAAAGCAAUUUCAUUUCAAAAGGCACUGCUACUGCUAUUUCAUUUCUAUUUGCUGCUAUCUCAUUAAGUUUCUUAUUGUAAUAAGGGAGUUGAAAGAAGGAAGGAGAUAGGACUUAGGAGGUUGUAAUAAGGGAUGUGUUAGUUUGAGUUAGGUUGUUUCGAGUUAAAAUUAGAUGAAAUUCAAUUUUAUGAGUUGAUAACAAAAUCCAACUCAUUGAAACCCAUAUUUUUAUAAACGGAAAGAACUCUCAAUAUAUCACGAACUAUUUCGCAAAAUUUAAAAUAUACAUUAAUUAUGGGUAAUUGUAUUCGUGUCACAAACCAUUCAUUUUCCGCAAACUUCCAUAUCACGCCGUCCUCACCAUAUUAGUUGUCCGUCAUGCAUCUACUGACGUAUAAUUAUAACCGCUCACCGGACAUUCCACUUAUCCAUUCAGCGGCAAACUAAUUCUUAAUCCCACAAAAUCCCUCUGACAUUAUGUCUUAGCUUCCAUCCCUAAUUCUUAAUCCCACAGAAUUCCGUAUCGGACACGGAAACAGAGCAAUCCGUAGCCGGCAGCGGCAAAGGUGGCGUCGAGUCCGAUUUCGUCGCGGGUGGCCAGUGGUUAACGACACGGCAACUGCAGCCGCCGGAAACAGAGAAGAAAACGAGGUCGGGAGAUGGCCUGACAGCGGCGGAUUUCUUCUUGGGUGGUAGUUGCCUGGACGAUUUCUUUCUGGGAGAAUUGGGGAGCUUUGGCUGUGCUGAUGAACUUGGUGGUGAUGAUUUGAGCUCUCUGGUAAAAUAAUAAGACUUCCUCGUUCCAGUCGGAGGAGGGGGAGGCGUGGGCUUACGAUGGCGGCGGGUUGUGUGGUGGGCGGCGAUUUGUGUUGGUGGCAUCGGCGGCGGCGGUGUGUUUGAGGUUGUGGAACCAGGCGUUUGGGAUCAUGUCGGAGAAUUUGAACCGGAGAUUACCCAUUGGUGUGUGGUUGUUUAAGAAAGAGAGUGGUUUUGGGUUUUGGAUUUUAAUUUUAGAGUUACAUUUCUUCAUUUUCGUUUCAGAUUUUCCUCCAUUUUCGUUCCCAAUCUCCCAUCUCCGUUUCAACGUAUCUUCCCCCUCCAAUUCCUUCAAAUUUCAACCCCAAUUCCACAUUUCUCCCAAUCACCAUGACCUAAAAUCUUCUUCUUUCCUCCUCGAGAAAUCGUCCUUCAAAUUUCAACCCCAGUUCCCCAUUUCGUGUGAAUAAUGUGCUGUAUAAGUAAAAGAGAAAAGAAGGUGAGGGAUGGAAGCUAAGAGAUAAGGUUGGAGGGAUUUUGUGCGAUUAAAGAGUUAGUGGAAUGCUGAUUGAAUAAGUGAAAUGUCCACUCAGCGGCUACAAUUACACGUCAGCGGAUGCAUGACGGAUAACUAUCAGGGUGGGGACGGCGUGAUAUGAAAGUUUGCAAAAAACGGAUGGUUCGUGACACGGAUAUAAUUACUCAUAAUUGGUGUAUAUUUUGAUCGAAUGAUCGAUAUGUUAAUCUGAUAGAAAAACUAGUACGUUCAGAUGUAAAUAGAUUAAAAUAGGAUGACCAAAAUAGAUAUUUACCACGGAACCAUUUCUUUUUUUGAUAAAUCAAGGGACCUCAACAAAACCCUAGUAACUGCUCAAGAACUGCCGCUCUCACCAUCUGCUGUAUCUCUUCCAGUGCCGGAAUCCGUCUCUGAUUUUCAUAGAAUCUUUGCACGACUUUAUGUUAUUGUCGACCACUGACAAUCAAUACCGACUGCUGAUUUUUUCUGAUUUCUUUCGAUUUUUGAGACACUUGCAAGUAUGGCGGACGUUAUGGGCGCGAAGGAUAUAGGGGCUGUGGCGGCGGAGGCUGGAAUUGACCUAUCACAGGUUGAUUUCGACUCAAUCCAGCUGCCGGCCGGCGAAGAUUUCGGCAUCCUCAGGUACUUAUUCCUAACCAUUGCACUCAGAUGGGAUUCUGUUUCGAUGAUUUUCAUUAUUCUCAUUAGGCGUUUUUCCCUAUCUUUGUAAGCGAUGACGAUGACAUUCUCCACGAGGAGCAGCUAGAUUUCGAUUCUGGCUUUGGAAACAUCAUUGUGGUGGAUAAUCUUCCUGUUGUUCCAUUUGAGAAGUUCGAGAAGCUCGAGGGAGUUAUCAGGAAGAUCUUUUCCCAAACUGGGGUUAUUAAGGAGGAUGGUCUGUGGAUGCCACUUGAUCCUGGGACCAAGAAAACCAAUGGUUACUGCUUCAUUGAGUACAACACUCCUCAGGUUACUUGUUUUCCUACUUAUUUGUCUUGUUAACUUUUCCAAUGAUCUGUUUUGUGUUUGGUUGUUGAUCUACUGUGGGUUCUAUUUACAGGAAGCUGAGCUUGCUAAAGAGAAAACCAAUGGCUACAGGCUUGAUAAGUCCCAUUUUUUUGUUGUCAAUAUGUUUGAUGACUUUGAUAAGUACAUGAGAGUACCGGAUGAAUGGGCAGCUCCUGAGGUUAAGCCAUACGUUCCUGGGGUAAGAACUUGUGCUUCUCAUCUCUUACUUCUUGCUCACCUUUUGCAUGUUAUCUUAGAAUGGAUGCUGUUCGAUAAUGAGUUUCUGUACAAGGGACUUGUUUUUUGAGGUGAGGUGUUUUCGAGGAACUCUAUGCUUUUUCGGUGCUCCCAACAUUGAUGUACAAUUCUAAAAGUGUGUGCUCCUUUUUAAUGUAUACUUGAUUCUUGUGCUGCCUAUUUGGUGCAUGGAUUAUUGAUUGCUGAUAUAACUUUGGGAUAUGCUUAUGAGUAGUUCAUUGCGUUCAGUCUUUUGAACGUCUUUUGUUUUAGUAUGCCUGUUCAGUUGGAAUAAGAUCCAUAUAUAUUCUGAUAUUGGCCUUGUUUAUAUAUGGCUGCAUUUUUCCCUUGAGUCAUGAAGAAAGUAAACUCUAUAUACUCUCAACAUUAUUAAUUUUUAUUUUCAUCAGCAUUUCGUAAGCUCUUUUAAAGCAGAGCUCUGGUUGGCAAUUGGCUACAUGAAUGGCCAAUGAGAAUUAGUUUUUGUAUGUGCUUAUUUUUGUCACGUGUACUUAAUAUGAUCGCAGGAAAACUUGCAGCAUUGGCUAACCGAUGAAAAGGCUAGGGAUCAAUUUGUGAUCCGUGCAGGCACUGAUACUGAGGUGUUCUGGAAUGAUACUAGACAUUUGAAGCCCGACCCUGUUUACAAGCGGGCUGUAAGUGUUGCCUGCUCAUUUGUUGGGAAAUAUUUUCAUCAUUUGCCUUCAUUAUUGUUUAAUUAAGUUAAUGUUGUAAUUUAUUUUGAAAAAAAAGUUAGUGUUUGAAUUUCUUGGUGGAAGUGCCAGCUUGUAUUUGAAUCUUGAUGUAUAAGUAGGUGAAAUAAUGUUCUAGUGACUCCUUUACUAAAAAACGGAAAACAUGAUUCUGUAAUAUUGGGGAGCUGCAGCGGACGAAAUUGAUCAAAAACUUUGGAAGAAAUAUAUAUGGACAAGCUGUCUGUCUAGUUUCAUAAAGAAAUGUUAUUUUAUUGAUAGGUUAUGGUAAUUAGCAUUCACUGGUGACCUGAUGUUGAUGCCUGUUUACUGUUACAGUACUGGACAGAGAGCUUUGUUCAGUGGUCUCCACUUGGAACUUACCUUGCAACAGUUCAUAGGCAAGGGGCAGCUGUGUGGGGCGGUGCAUCCACCUUCAACCGUCUCAUGCGUUAUGCUCAUCCUCAGGUCUUUCUGCCUUCUAUUUGGGUUCUCGUUUUUCACGGCUCUUUCUUUUGUUUUAUCGGCUUCAAUGUUUGAUUUCAGGUUAAAAUGAUUGACUUCUCCCCUGGUGAGAAAUACCUUGUAACCUACAGUAGUCAUGAACCUAGCAAUCCACGUGAUGCAAAUGUGAGAUUGUUUAAUAUGCCUUAGUAUGUUUUAACGUUGUCAGUUCUCUCUUUAUGCUUUGGGACUCAUCUAAUUAUCCUUUUCUUCCAGAGGGUUCUGAUCAAUAUAUUUGAUGUGAGAACCGGUAAGGUUAGAAGAGAUUUUAAAGGAAGUGCUGAUGAAUUUACAGCUGGAGGAGCUGGUGGUGUCACAGGUGUUCCAUGGCCAGUUUUCCGGUGAUUACUCUGUGCAAAUGAUUGUCCACAAUUUGAAUAUUCCUCCCCCCUUCCCAAUCAUUUUGACCUAAAAAUUCUUUAUUGCUGUAUGCAGCUGGGGUGGCGGAAAGGGUGAUAACUACUUUGCAAAGUUGGGUAAAAAUAUGAUAUCUGUCUAUGAAACGGAGACUUUCAGUCUCAUUGAUAAGAAAUCCAUCAAGGUUGAGAACGUUGUGGACUUCACUUGGUCUCCAGCCGAUCCAAUUAUUGCACUCUUCGUCCCUGAGCUUGGUGGUGGUAACCAGCCGGCUAGGGUGAGUCUUGUUCAAAUUCCCAGCAAACAGGAGCUGAGACAGAAGAAUCUUUUCAGUGUCAACGACUGCAAAAUGUAUUGGCAAAGUGCUGGGGACUAUCUUGCUGUACAAGUGGAUCGAUACACAAAGACCAGGAAAAGCACAUAUACAGGCUUUGAGCUUUUCAGAAUUAAAGAACGUGAUAUUCCCAUUGAGGUUCUGGAGCUUGAAAACAAAAAUGAUAAGAUCAUUGCUUUUGCCUGGGAGCCAAAGGGUCACAGGUUUGCUGUUAUUCAUGGUGAUGGUCCUAGGCCUGAUGUAAGCUUUUACUCAAUGAAGACUGCUCAGCACUCUGGCCGGGUGUCCAAGCUCACUACCCUGAAAGGAAAGCAAGCAAAUGCUCUUUUCUGGUCUCCUUUGGGACAUUACUUAAUACUGGCAGGAAUGAAGGGUUUCAAUGGCCAACUGGAAUUCUACAAUGUUGAUGAGCUUGAAACUAUGGCAACUGCUGAGCACUUUAUGGCGACUGAUGUAGAAUGGGAUCCUACUGGAAGGUAGUAUAUUCUUUGAUUUCUGUACCAUUGUGGCAUGAAAAUAAAAUGACAUAGUUGUUGACAGCCUGACUUUGAGUAAAUGUGUUUGAUGGAAUGUCCUUUGAGGAUAAAAUGCUGAUAUAUGUUUGCUUUUCAGGUAUGUGGCAACAGCAGUCACUUCGGUGCACCAUGAGAUGGAGAAUGGGUUUAAUAUCUGGUCCUUCCACGGAAAGCAACUCUAUAGGAUAUCUAAGGAUCAUUUCUUCCAGGCAAGUGGCUAGGGCUAUAAUAUCCUCACCUGAGUUGUAUUUAUUAGGACCGACAUUUUCAUUACCUGAACCAUGGAUGCAUUGUCUUGUUAUUGUUGUGCUUUUAUAACAGUUCCAAUGGCGCCCAAGGCCACCAUCAUUCCUGAGUGCAGAAAAGGAGGAAGAGAUUGCAAAGAACCUGAAGAAGUACAGCAAGAAGUACGAGGCAGAGGACCAGGAUGUGUCGUUGCAAUUGAGCGAGCAAGAUAGAGAGAAGAGGAAACUGCUCAAGGAUGAAUGGGCACAAUGGGUGAGCAAAUGGAAGAAGAUGCAUGAAGAGGAGAAGUUGGAGAGACGGCAUUUGAGGGACGGAGAGGCCAGCGACGAAGAAGAGGUGUAUGAAGCCAAGGAAGUUGAAGUUGAGGAAGUGUUGGAUGUCUCAGAGGAAGUGGUUUCAUUCGAAUACGGUCAGGAGUAGUUGUACGCCAUAUGUAUUGCAUGAAUUUGCAUUAAGCUCGUUAGUUUUUCUCUAUGGAGACGUUUCUUCUUGUUCUUUUUCAAUCUUUGAUGUCUCUUCAAAUUGUUAGAAUCUGGUUUUGUUGGUGAACCAUCCUCAAUUUUGUUAAGACGCCUUUGUGGUGUGAGAUGCUUUUGUAGUGGGUUGAUUUUUAUUUAUUAUCUCUGUAUGGCAUGGAAGAAAGAAAUGUAACCAAGUUAAAUAUUGAGUAGCCCAUAAAAACCAUCAUAAAUUGGUAAUUUUACAGGCAAGUAGACCACCAAGAUGGGUUAUGUGGUGAAGGAUAAAAGUUUAGUUGUUGAGAACUCGUCAACGUUGGCAAUCUCUGUGCAACUUGGUAAUGGCGUGAACUUUGGUCUUCCAACACCGUUGCAUUCAGCUCCGGAAGUUGCUGAUAAAGAACAGCUCAGUUUGCUGAUCAUCCAUGCAUGGCUAUGAGAAGAAUCGUGCCAAUACUACUGUUUCAGUCCGACCAACGUUCAUAUCUCACUCAAUUUUCUUCAUGUCCAGCAACUAUCGUUCAUACAUGUCCGACGGUUUUAAUCGAUUAAUCAUUUAACCGAAAUUCCAGCCUCAAACCCGACAUACAAACAACAAUCUGGCUACGGGAACAAGAACCGUCAACACUAAGCAACCUAUGUACAGUCAGAAAGAUAAUCUAACUAACAUACACUCUAUUUCAUGUCGAAUUCUAUCAACUAUAGUAUCUGCAUUGUUCUCCAUAUUCACAACAUUACGGGAGCAUCUUUUGUACCAAACACGAGCAAUUAUGACUCUCCAAAUAGCUCUGUCCCUUUUCCCUUUCACUGAACCACCCUUAACUUCUUACUCUUCUUACUGAUCUCUUCAUUCCACGUUGCUUGAGCAUCAAAUUCAGAUCCAAGCUUACUACGAACACAAGUAAAGAAUGCACAUUCAGUAAAGAUGUGAUUAACAUCAUCCACACCAUCAUCACAAAGGAGACAAAAGAUGUGCACCCAGUUUGUCAUAUCGCUGUUAAUAACUAGCUUUCCUGUAAUUGCCAUCCAGCUGGUGAAGCAAUGUUUAGGGAUAAAGGAAUUCCUCCAAAUAAAAUUGUUCCACUGAACUUCAAUUUUCUUCUUCCUAAUAUCAUUCCAAACUUCACCAAUUGAGUAACGACCCAUGCACUCCCCUGCCCGCAACAAGUUGUCAUCUUUAUCCUUAUCAAUAAAAAAAUGCAGCAAUGCUUAUGACCUUGAUCACUUGUAGAAUCUUCUCAGGAGAGAAUAGAUACUCUAAAUGCCUUAGGGGGAUCCACUUGUAAACACCAAUAGUUCAUCUACAAAAUAGGGGUUAAACAAUUGUCAAUUUCUUACAGUGAGGAUGAAAAGGGGAAUAGCUCCAGUCCUAACAGUUUCCUGAAAGAGGCAAUAAAAAGGCUUCAUUACAAUAAUAAAAAGGGAAGGAAACAAUGAAUCCCCUUAUCUAAGUCCUUUUUUGCCUUCAAAUACCUUAACGUUCCCCUCAUUUCUGGUAGACUCAGUACUCAUGAUUGUGACAUUUUGGUGGAUCGUAUUACUGCUAGAGUCUCUCUAGUUGGCGUGCUAAACUCACUCUUAGCUAUGCGGGAAGAUUACAAUUAGGCACCUCUGUUCUUGCUUCUGUGAGCCAAUAUUGGCUUUUGGUUUUUCUGCUCCCGAAGAUGAUUAUCAGCAAAGUUGAACAAAAAUAUAGCGAUUUCCUCUGGUCAGUUGGGCAAGGGGGUACAAAAAGAGCAAAAGUUCCUUGAUCUGAGAUAGCUAAACCAAAGAAAGAAGGAGAUAUUGAUAUUAAGGAUCUUGUUACUUGGAAUGUAGCCUGUGUCAUAAGGCAUCUGUGGGGAAAUCUUUUGAAUGCAGGUUCUAUUUGGAUUGUUUGGCGGAAGUGUUAUCGUUUAAAAGCUAAUACAAUUUGAAAUUGUAAGAAACAACCUUAUCACUGUUGGGUUUGGAAAACGAUACUGAAAGCUAGAUCCAUUGCAGCCCAUUUGUGCUCUGUUGAUGAUGAUGGUAUUCCGUUGUGGGCAGGCGCAAGUAUGUCGAGAUACUCUGUUUCUCGGGUCUGGAAUGGCAUAAGACAACACUCUCCUAGAGUAAUGUGGUAUGAUCUAAUAUGAAAGGGACCUUCAAUUCCGAAGCAUAGUUUUAUAAAUUGGCUUACUGUCAGAGGGAGGCUCGUUACUAAUUGCUCUUGGGGUUUACCUAGAGAUCUCUUCUGUCAUUUAUGUGAAUAUGGUUUAGAUGACAUAAACCAUUUCGUCACAGGAUUUUUGUUAGUGGUGCUAUUCAUGAUUCUUUAGAUUUGCAGCUUACUGUCACUGGAAAUGAUUGGAUGAAGGAAAUUGAAGUUGGGUGGGGGUAGAUUUGCAGGUUCCACAGCUGCUACUAGACGUAAGAGAUGUGUUUGGCGUACUUUAAUUGCGACAGUGUGGUAUGAAAGGUGUUCCCGUAAUGCGAGAAAUACAGGAGUGAAAGUUGAAGACAUAAUAGAUAGGAUACAAAAAGAUAUAGAUAUGAAGAUAUGAUUGUAGUAGUUUGUAGUAGUUCUCUCUUGUUAUUACUUGACGGGAAUUAGUCACAACAUGGAGAGAAGAAUCUUAGAUGGUACACAAUUAUGUGUUGAAGGAUAAAGUAUUGGUCUUUCGUACUCAACCACGGUGGAAACGAGUCAAAACUAGGCAUGGCAAUCAGACGAGUUUAUAUAUAUACGUCCAUCCUCGUACACGUCUCGAAAAUUCAUCUCAUCCUCAUCCUCAUACCCGUUCGGACACAUACCUUUAUAUUUAUCUUCAAAUUCGUGGGUUUCGAAUAUUUGUGGGUAUUUUCAUCCCUGUAAAAUUGAAGUAGGAAUUUAAAAAUAAGACCAAAUAAUCCAAAUUCAAAAUCUUUUAAAUGGUACGUUCUAAAUUCUAAUAGGUUAUGUAUGAAUUGUUAUAAAUAAUAGGUGUGGAGAUGUACAGUUUUAAUAGUUAAUGUACUAUUUAUGUUAAUAACCCGUUCUUUUUAGGCAAGGUAUAAGUGUGGAAAGCUAAUUUAAUAUAUGCGUUUUGGAGCGAAAGGAUUUCGUUUUUGUAUCCGAUUCAUGAGCAAUAUGGAACUUUGAAUCUCCAUAUGAUCUAAAGGUCUAGAUUGAUCAAGGACAACAUAGCAUAGCCAUCUCUAAUCGCGAGAUCACUCUAACUCGUUCCCGAUCUAUCUCCAUUCUUUCUUUACGAGAUUCUCCAUACCUAUCAUGCAACCCGUUCAAUACAAAUAUUAAUAUUACCCACUUCUUUAAAAUUGUAGGGUCGAAUACCCACAGUCCACAUAAUCAAAUAAAAUUGCCAUGCCUAGUCAAAAUUAAACGUUAGCAACUUGUGGGCAAUUCGGUAAUGCCGUGGUCUCUCAACCAAAAGUAAAAGACAAGAGUGAAAGACCCGUUGAGUACAUAGACUUAACGUCAUCGUCAUGAAUAUCCAAGUGGGUGUAUGUAUGCAUGCAGCCAUUGGAGUAACCUGCAAUAAAUAUUAUGUGUAAGCUAAGCUCAUCUUGUUCAGACAUUCUUCACUUCAGUGCCACCAAAUCCCAAAAUGGGCGUCAGUGGUUUCUUCUUCCUCCUUCUCCUCCUAACCUUGAUUUCUCUCUGCCACAACUUCCAUGUCUGUGCCCGCUACAUACUUGCUGUUGAACCUAAAUCCUCCUACCUGUCUUCUUCCUUUUCCCCCCCACCAUCACCACCUCUUCCUCCUUUUCCUACUCUUCCACCCGCCCCCGCAAACGCCGACCAACAAUUACCCCUCCGAAUCUCCAAGAGCGACGUCGUCCCCGGGACUUACGUCGUAUCUGUCGGAUUGGGCACUCCUGCCAAAUACCUCAACUUAAUGUUAGAUACCGGCAGCACUAUUACUUGGGUUCAGUGCGGAGAUGGAUGCAUCUACGAUCCUUUCUCAUCCAACACCUCAACCUCUUGCCAAGUUGAAUCCUGUACCUUCAAACUCCGUUACCUUGACGACGGCUUUUCCAUAGGCUACAAAGUCACAGACAAUCUCGCCAUCUCCAAUUACCAAUUCCCCACUAUCGACUUUGGCUGCAUCAAAAUCCUCGACGAAAAAUCCGCCAAAUUGGACGGAAUUCUUGCCCUCGGCCUCUCCACCGCCAAAAAAAGCGUUCCACCCCUCCUCUACCAAACUAAAGAAACCUACCAGGCUACUUUCUGCUACUGCUUGCCUACGGACGCUGCUAAUUCCGGCUACCUUUGGUUCGGAUCGCAGGCGAUUCAGACCUGUCGCGACCGGACUACACCCACCAGACUCGUCCGCAAUACCGAUAACGAGGCUAUGUACUUUGUUAAUCUGAUCGGAAUCACCAUCGGUGACUCGGUAAUUUCGUCGUCGGCGGCGGCGGUGGCGAUCGACUCGGGGACGGAAAUCAGCAGGCUCUCGCCGGAGGUGUACGAAGGUGUGAAAGCAGAGUUCAAGAAAUGGAUGGCGAAUUACAAGGAGGCUGGGAAAUCAGAUAUUUUGGACACUUGUUAUGAACUCGGGGCGGUGGAGAUAAGGGAUUUGGAAGUUCCGAGCAUGGUUCUGCAUUUCGGGGACGGAUUGGAUGUGGUAUUGGACCAAGGUUGGGUAUUUUGGCCGGACGAGAACCGAAAGGGAGUAGCGUGCUUGGGCUUUGCUGCGAGUAAUGUGAGCAUUAUUGGGACUCAUCAACUCAAGGGGUGGAAUCUGCUCUACGACAAUGAAGACAACACUGUUGCAUUCGGCUCCGGAAGUUGUUAAUGGGUUCAUGCAUUCGGCUUAUCUAACACUAUAAUAUGCAUUUAUAUUUUUUUUAUAUUGCCACAUCAGCUUUUUAAUUACUUAUCUGGCUUCUUCUUAAUUGUAGGAAGGAAAAAAACUAUCAGAAAACUUCAUUUUUAAAGCCUCCGUUUGUAGUAAUCAAAUUUCGUCCGGGUCGUAGAGUUCGUAUCGAUCUUUUGCUAUCAAACGACAUGUAACACUUCUAUUCAAUGACUUAAUAUUUUGUCUACCAAUUCCGAACUUACAUUCACCUAAAUUGGUCAAAAGCCAUAAAAAAGCCAUAAUUUUUGUUCAAACCAGCUACACUUUGUAUUAUGGAGAUGUAUGUAUUUGGUGAUAUUUUUUUUAAGUUUUGCUUCUAACAUUUAAUGUAGAAUAGAAUAUAUGAGACCUCCAUAAAACCGUCAGUCUGUAGUUAAUAAUUUUUUAUUAUUUAUUUAUUUAUUUAUGAACCUGAAUAAUUAUUUCUUGACAAUAAUUAAUAGGAUUAACCAUCAUUAAUGUAAAAAAACCUUUAAUAAAUUUAUUAUUUUGAUAAAAUUAUCGGGAUUAACAAUUACCAAUGUUCAAUGACGAUUAAUAAUUUUUAUUUAUUUAUAAGAUUAUCGGGUUUAAGUGAUAUAUCAAAUUAAUAUUUUUCUAACUUUAUUAUAGAUAGAUCCUGUUUGUUGAAAAUUAAAUUAAUGUGUUAUUUGUCGUUAACUUAUUAUUACUAUUUAAAUAUAUCGUUUCAAAUUGUCACGAUAAAAAACAAUACAAAAACGUGCGCGUGAAAUGUUCUGAAAUUUUCGGUCGAUCUUCAAGGCGAUAUUCGUUUGUACCGGCGACAUCUCGCCUUCUGGUUGAUGAUCUCCUCUACUCCUCUCCUCUUAUUGCCAGUACGCCGGCUAUUUUUGAAAUAAACUAUUUGGAUGAGUAAUUUGUGAGUGAUUUUGAAUGUAAUUAUUGUAGAGAGAAAAAAAAAUACAAAACGAAAAUGCCUCUAAUUGUUUUAUGGUGAUAUCAAUUAUCAAAAGAAAUAAGGGGUAGUUUUGGUUAAAAUUCUCAAAUCUCCUCUCUCUUCCAAAAUCUCUACCUUUCUUGGGUGAUUUGAAAUUACUUACGAAAUUUCCUCCUGGCCCACAAAGUUUUUUCAAAUUUUCCUAAAUCUCUUCUCUUUUUUAUGACCCAAACAAGUGAUUUGAGAUGAAAUUUCUUCAGAGGUCCAAAUCACCCUCAAAUCACCCCAUCAAAAUCACCAACCAAAACGACCAAUUCAUANNNNNNNNNNNNNNNNNNNNNNNNNNNNNNNNNNNNNNNNNNNNNNNNNNNNNNNNNNNNNNNNNNNNNNNNNNNNNNNNNNNNNNNNNNNNNAGUAAAAUGAGUAUACCCACAACAACACUAAAAUAAAGUAAAUAAUUCUAACUCUAAACUGCAUACAAAAAUAAAGUAUGAUAUAUCAAUGCUAUUUUCAUGUGCACACACUAGUCCACACAACACUAAUAAAUAAUAUUUUUUUCGGCCCGAGAUGUGUAUCAUAGAGAUAGAAGGAAAAUAAGAUGUUUGUGUGUAGGAUGUGACUGAAUUGAAAUUUAAAAUUUUCAAAUAGGCAUCACACAAUAUUAUCAAUUACUCUAUUCUACGAGUAAUAACAACAAUUUAUAUUGAUAUUAAAAGAAAUUUAUUGUUGCAUUAGUCUCUCACCUCUGACUGCUAUGCUGACUUGAAUGAAUGGUUGCGAUUGAGUCUGAAAAAAUCCAAUGGUGCAGAAUUGUUUGUUUUUAACUAUUAUGGACGGUUCGAAUUUUUCUUAAAGAUCUAAGAUUUGACGGUUGAGAAUGAUUUGCAUUAUACAAAUGAGGGUUAUGUAUCUAAAAUUUAAAUUAAUUAAUAUGUUUUCCUACUUUUUAUUUAAUUAAUAUCUUUUACAUAUGGAUUCGGAUUUGAAUAAUUUUUACGUUAAAAUUUUAAAUUUUCAGACACAAUUAAAACAAGCACAAUCAUGAUAAGGUUUCGGCGAACUUUUUUCUGAGGCCAAACAUGUAUGUUGACUACGUGAAAACUAGAUCUCAUAUCGUUGAACUCGAUUAUGUAACAAUGGCCGGGUUUAUUGAUCAAUGCGUAUAACGAAUUUUCCAAUUAUUUGCCCCAAAUUGUAUAUACUGUUAUAUAUAACGUUAAAGAAAUCAACAUAUAAACCUAUUUGGUAUAUAAAAGAAAAUACGCAAACAAAACACAGAUCGCUAUGUCACAAUUAGUUAUGCACAAUCAAUUUCGUAACAAAGCGCGGAUAAGCAACCUAGUAUUCUCUUGAAUUCAAAAUGAGCUGCAGCCACCGGAGUUGAAUGCCAAUCUCUUGCCAUUGAUGUCAUAGUAAACUUUCAACCCUCGGUGCUGUUGGUUCCCAAUAAUAGUCAAAUCCCCCUCAUUCCCAUUGCCGGCAAAUGCCAAGCACACUCGAGACAUUGGAUUCUCUUCUCCUUCCUUCAAUAUCACCGCCGACGGAUCCAACUUCACAUCCACCGAAUCCUCAAAGUGUAGCAUCAUCUCCGGCGGGCUCCACUCGCUCUCCUCUCCUUCCAGGUUAUAACAACUAUCCAACAGCUUACUCCCUUCUGCUUCAACAUAACCAGACAUCAAUCCCUGAAACGUCGCCCGGAGCUCCGUAUACACGGCCAUAGGAAGGCGGGUCACAAUCGUUCCGGAAUCGAUGAUCGUGUUCAUUUGGGAGGAAGCAGAUGGUGGUAACAAGGACGCGAAGUCCAAUCUCUGCCGUCCGAUUGUUAUCCCGGUGAAUUUUACGAAGUAGUUUGUGAGGCCAUUGUUGUUGUUGGGAUGAAUAUCAAGCGAGAUCAUCUUGGCGGACGGUGAUUUCGGACGGCAGGUCUCCAUCGCCUGGACGCCGAACCAUAGCGAUCCGGUUGAGGAAUCGGUGAGGGGAAGGCAGUAGCAGAAGAAGCCGAGCAGAGUCGAAUCCGUUUGUGCUAACAGGGAGAAAUAGCCAUGUCCUAGACCAAGCACGCCAACUGCUCGACCGAACUCCCCAACGGAUUUUUCAGCGCAACCGAAGAUGAAUCCUUUGUUAACCAAGGCGUCCAAUGAAAGCGUGUCGUUUGCGUAAACUCCGGAAGAUUGCGAGCCAUCGUGGUAGUCUACGGAGUAAUUGCAGUUAGUGCCGCAGGAGACGGAGGACGAGGUUGAUGACAGAGAAGGGUUGAAAGAAACGUCGUCGGAAGAGUUGCAUUUGACCCAACUGGUGUCGCUGCCGGUGUCGAAGAGCAAGUCGAAAUCGUGUCUCGGAGUGCCGAUUCCUACAGUGAUGACGAAGGAUCCUUGGUCCGGUGUGAGAGUCAGGGUGGUUCCUAACCCGAAUUCAUCAGUAUGAAUUGGUGAUUCCUGCUUUAAAAUCCCGGCGGCAUCAGCGCUGAUCACAACGUAUGACGACGCAAGUGUAAUCAUAAGGUAUAAAUUAUGAAGAAGAGAAAGCAGGGAUAUUUUGGAAUUUGCAGAUGCCAUGGGUAGGGCUGGAUAAUAAUCUAUUCUACGGUAGCUAAGGAUGCAGGGUAUUCGGAAUUGAUUAUAAUUCAUAUUUUCUGUUUCUGUUUCUGUUGAUGUUGACUGAUUAUAUAAGAUUAGAAUUUAACAGAAUCUUCAUUCCAUGGCUGUCAUCAAACAUCAAACUUCUGAAUCGCCAGCCAGAGAAAUGGCUUCUCCCAUCCAGAAAGCCAUCACAAAUUUCAACCGUUUAAAAAUCAUACUCUACAUCUAACGGCGGAAAACAUAAAGGGCAAAAUUAAAAUUUUGCAGCAUAAAAUGUAUAUAAUACUCUGUAUAAUACUUAAUAGUUAGUAUCAUAUUACUUAGUAUUACAUUUUAUACAAAAGUCAUAUAAAUUUAUAUACAUUUUUGUAAGAAUUUAUACAAACCAAGACACAUUUGCAUAAUCCAUACAAUUUUUUGUACAAAGUUAUACGACCGGUCGUAUAAAAAUAUUUUCCACAAAAAUUAAAAAAUUUCCAAAAACGUAGUGCAAAGGACAAUGAUCUUGUGGUUGUAAAAAAAUUCGUCAACAGAUGUCAGAAUCGCCGGAAAAUUAAUCGGAAAACUUUUUGAUGACCGAAAAUAAAGGUGUGGUAAGGAGACGAUAAUCCCGCGAUCGAAGAUACUUGACUUUUAAUAUUUAAAAGAAUAUGAUUAUAUUACCCCUAAUUAAUCUUAAUUUUUGAAUCAUGUGAAAAUUCAAAAGUUCAAAUUACUCCUGCUCGGAUCCAAAAAGUAAUGACAUCGGCUUGAGAAUCAGAGACCAAAUGGGGCCGAGAAAUAUCCCGUGUUAUUUGAUAUCGGUCAUUCGAUGGUGUCUGUUAGUCAAAAAGAUGCUGGAAAUUGUAGUGAUGGACUUUCAUUUGGGUCUCAAGUCAACUAGUAGCAACAAAACUAUCCAAUAAUAAUAAUAGAAUGAAAUUGACAAAAGCAUUCUACAUCCCUAUUAUUUGUGUAGACUUUGUGUUACUUAGAGUAAGCUGGUUUUGUAUCCAUUGGUUGCUGGUCAGUUUCAUAAUUUUUUACCUACCGCCUAAUUCUUCUGCAUAUGUUUUCGUUUCCUUCGUUCUCUACGGUUUCCAAUUCCUAUUUUGUGUCGGUCAUAUAUAGCUGGUCUUCUAUCCAUGUCGUCCAGCCUAGCAUCUUCCAACCGCUCCUUUUUGCUAUGGUCUUCUAUCCAUGUUGUAUAUAGCUGGCCUUAUCGCGAACCCUUAUAGCUAAAUUGCUAGCUAAGUUUACUUCUAACAGCUACCAUGUGAUAAUCGACUCUCCGGGCUAUUAUGUUAUAUAAUUUUUUUUUGUAAUUAGUUAAUAUCAAACUUUCAAAAUAUGUAGGUGUUGCUAUUAUUCAUUCCGAUAUUUGAGGGUGUGGGUGCCGAUUUGGUGCAGGGGAUGCAGUCUUUUUAUGUUUUGUUAUGUUGGUGCUUUGCUUGCUUCUUUAGUUUUCUGGGCAGGUUAUACUUUUCUUCUUGAAUUUUUUUGGUUUUUAGGAUUGGAUUGUGGGUGUAGGAGGUUUUAUGGUUUGGUCUUACCUUUUCUUUGGGGUUUUCGUCAUUGUUUUGUCCCCUCACAAAAUAUUAAAUUAUAAGUUCAAUAUACAUACACCAAAUUCUAUGUUGCAUUAUUUAGGGCGAGAUCUGUUGAAGGUGUUCAUGUUGUCCUUCAAAAUGAUCAAAAUGUAUCCGAAACAAGCAUGCACAACAUUGUAUAUAGGGAAAUUUUUGAAGAUUUACAAAGCGUCGGUUCAUGUUUAGCCACUUUUUACCAACAUCAAACUGUUUGUAAUUCCGUAUGCUCGAAUCCUUUUGUCAUGUAAAUUUUGCAUAUAUUAAUUAUCAUCCUUUUGCCCUGUAAAUAUUUUAUAUAUUAAUAAACCUAUUACUACCUAAUCAUUAUAAUCUUAUAUCGUCUUUCUCAUUUACAAUUAACUUUUGAAGAACGGGUGUGCAAUGUCUAAAUUAUUAUCAAUUUAAAUCUCCGUGGCAACGCAAGGUCAACCAUACUAGUUAGAUCUUAAACUUGAAAAAUUAAACUCUAACCCACGAACAUUAUACCCUAAACCCUUAACACAGACCUACGACACCAAACACUGAAUUUUAAAAUAUGAUGCGAAGGAUAUCAAAGCGUUUAAUAGAUCACAUCUAAUAUAGUCUUCAUAAUUUUGCUAGGUAGAAAAGAAGAGUUUUCUCUGUCUCUUUGUGCACAGGGACAGGGUGAACAAUAAGGACCAAGAAGCAAAGGACUUGGUCUAAUGCCUUGAGCUAGAGGGAAACUUGAUUUCGAUGGUAAUGAAGGUGAAGAACAUAAUAUACAAACAAAACAAGAAAUAUGAGUUUGGUUGACCCAUGUUUAAUUCGACAGGUCCUGUAAUCUCAAUAAUAAACAUUUUAAUCUGAUCUGCACCAUUUGAAUGGUUUCUUCUGUGUAAAGUUGAUGCAUCUUGUAGUACGUGGUAGCUGAAUUCUGGUCUCCAAACAUGAUGCCAAAACGGAUUUUCAUCCACUUCCAUCAUAAUUUCACAUAAUAUUUCGGUCUCUCGAGUUGGGGCAUGUAACAUUUCGGUCGCUCAACCUUGAGUCAACACAAAUAAGUUGAGUGACAUAAAUGUUAUCUAGCCCAAGCUUGGGCUAUAUAUUAUACGAGGGAGUAAAUCGAAGGUGUAAAACAAGCUUCGUUUUGUAGAUGGAAGCUUGGGCUAUAUAAUACGAGGGAGUAAAUCGAGCAGAUGGUAGUAUGAGGCAGUCAUUUUUCAACUGUCUACUUCGCCUGGAUUUUGUGUUUUGAAAAUCGACAGUUUUUUUUUUGAAAAAUGGUAGUUUUUGAAACUGCAUAUUUAAAGAAACUAUCGUCUCUCAAAACCUUUAUUUGGAAAUUAUUUAUUUAUGGGUAACACUCCGGUGAAAACAUACAUUCGAUACAAACGCCACAUGACGAAUUAUAGCUGAUCUCCCCAAAGUUUAUCUUUUAUUUUGAUUAAUUAACAACAUUAUCAUUCGACAAUUUAACCAUUUAUUACUUGUAACCACCGUCCUCUCCCCCCUCCUAAUUGCAUAUUGUUAGUAAUUUCAUUGCUCAGGCCCACAUUCCAAGUCUUGCAGGUAUGAUUCCCUCGUCGCUUCCACACUAAUGCUACGAUUGGCACCUGGAAAAUCUCAUAGGAAUCUUGUCAUUUUCCUAUCUGAAUUGGAAUCUCAUCAUUUUUAUAUUUGGUAUGAUAAUUUUGGGUGGAAUCAUGACUACAAUGACUAUGAGAAACUGAGUUUCCAUCAAUAAUGGUCGGAUUUUGAGAUUCUAUCCAAAAAAAUGUACACGCUGCCCUUGUAGUUCUCUAUUAUUACAAAAUUGUCAUUUUAAUAUAAAUGGACUAAUAUACUCUUUAUAAAAACAUUUAUUUUUUGUUUUGCUAAAAUAGCUCAUAUCAUAUUAAUUAGUCAUCAAUACAAUAGUAAAAAGUGAAUCUAUGAAAAAAGAUUUUCGAAGCGUUCAUUGCUCAGCAGACUCACAAAUUUUCUAUAACGAGGGAGAAUCUCAAAGUUGUCAUAGAUAAUUAAUACGAUAAGAGUUGUUUCAGUAAACAAUAAAUAAGUAUUUUACAAAGGGUAUAAUCAUCAUUUUAUAAAUUGCACGAAAUAAAAUAUAGACGGGUCAUAUUAAUUGACUUUUAUUAUAGUAUUUAUAAUAAAUCACACUCUAGGCCAUAUACAAUGCUCGUAAUGCUCGUAAUGCACAAAAAUACAUCCGAUUGUAAUGCUCAUAACCGAAAGUGAGGUAAGCCAUGAUGACACAUAUCAAACUUCAACUUUCAACACUUCGACGCCAUCACUGGCUUCCAGCUGAUCAUCAUCCCAAGAUAUAGUAUGGUGAUUACCAUACGCCCAAGUGCAGACCAAGAAGUAGCACAAGUUGAAGAAACUCAGCCCUGCCACAAGCCAAUAGUAGUAGUCGAUUUUACUGCGGGAUAGAUUAUCAUUUACCCACCCAGUGUGAUUCUUCACUUGGCGCAACAUCAACGUCGCAGCUAGCAUCCCGAAACACUGCCCCAAGGAUACUAAAGCAUUCCCAAGGCUCUUCAUCCCAUUCGGCAACCGUGAAUUGAAGAAGUCGAGUUGCGCAAGCAGGUAGAGCGCCUCCGCAAGUCCCAUCAGUGAAAGCUGGGGGAUAAGCCAGUUCCCCGACAUGGUCGGCCCCCUCGAAACCAACCGUCGAUGGUGUUCCACGAAACCUGCAAUGAGGUUGGCGAUGCAUGACAAGGCGAUUCCUAUGGCCAUUCGGAUCCGAGGCUGGAUGCCGUUUCGGAGGUGCUUAGAGUUGAACCUAGUGAGGGCCGGGACGAUGACCCUGGCAUAUAAGAGCAUCCAUAGGGUCAUUGUGCCAACAGUGAAGAUGACGUAGUCUGCAGGGGUGAGGUUUAGAUGGCCCAAGUGGCGGUCCAUGGCUUGGGCUUGGUAGUUGGGCAAGGCGCCCGGAGAAGUGGCCACGGUGGUGAUGAUUCCGGUAGACCAGAUGGGGAUGACGGAGAUGAGAGCUUUGAACUCCUCCACCUCUCGAACAGUAGAUAAAGAAGUGUUAGGGUUUGUAGCCUCUUCAUUGUCAAUGAGCAUGCAAGCUCGGUUGAGAAAUCUACAUUUUCGAAAUUAAAGAAGGGGUUAAUUAAGGUUUAAUGAAAGAGUGGCAGAUACAUGAGGCCUCCUCGGGCCUCGGGCAACGUAUUUUCGGAUUUUGAAGUUCGAUACUAUAUAAUUUGCAUUAUAUUUUUUAGUUGGUUGACAUUUUUAUUAUCAGCGUAUUUGGACUCAUAUACAAUUCAUCACAGUGCAUUGAACCAUCCUAGAUCCGUCACUAAAUCAAAAAAAUUAAUUAGUAGCAUUUAAUUAGGGCAUGAUUGAUUACUUAUAAUAUACCUUAAUCGAUUGGUGGGAUGGACGAAGGUGGAUCGACCGUAGUGGAACCACCUAGCUUGGUCGGUAUCGGAAGGGGCUACUGACAGUCGUCUUCGUCUCCAUGCUGCCAUGAGCAAUGUCCCGAUACCACUCCUCGAACUAGACUUUGAUAUCUGGACAACCUUAACGUAUCGAGAGGAUCUAACCAUGAAAGAGAUGAAGGAGAGCAGCAUGAGGACGGGAGGGAUAGCGAACAACAUAGACCACUCCACAUGCUUGUUGAUUUCGGACAUGACCAGCACCGAAACCACGACCGAGAACCCCACCGUGGCAUAGUACAAGCUGUAGUACCCUUCGAUGGUUUUCCUAUUGUCGGGGUCGUUGGGGUUGUUAAUCUGGUUCGCCCCGAACGUGGGACAACACGGCCUUAUCCCGCCGCCUCCGAUUGCCAUAAUAGCGAAAGAGGAGAAGAGUAGGAGCAACCUCCACAGUUUCUCCCCAAACGGACUGUCUGGGGCAUCAGGUCGUAGUCCGGGGAAGAAUGCUGUGGCCCAUAAAAUCGCCAUGCCCUGAAAAUUCAAUAUGCAUCUGUAACGUUAGUUUAUAAUAAAAAAACAUUAUAUAUUAUUGAAGUUAUGAUAAAGUUAGUGUACGUUAUAACAAACUCACCAUUAGUGUGACCAAGCUGCCAAAGGCAAUGACCUUGAAUUGGCCAUAGGAGUUCGAGACACCGGCUCCGAAAAUCGGAGUGAAGUUCCUGACAGCACCGAAUACUAGCACAAAGGUGGAGACACCCGAGAGGCCGAUGAAGUAGUCAUUCGUAAGGUACUCGAUACACACCGGUAUUAGCCCGACACUAGCCGCCUUCUCAAAAAUCUCAUUUGCUGAAUAAUACAAAUACCAAUUAUAAUCCUCUCCCGACAAUUCGAGUUAUUCGGAUGCAAACUUCUUAUAAAUUAAUAGACAGACAAAUGUGCAUAUGUACAUACCUAUGAUGAAAGGUAGCGUCUUCCAACCGCCUAGUGAAACAUCUACUACAGCCAUUUUAUGAACGUAAAGUGACAACUUUUAACGUUGGUGUGAGGUGAAGAGAAGUGAAGAGGUUAACAAAAUGGGCAGUAUUUAUAUAUAUAGGCCAACAAACACGUACCAGUACGUAAAUUGGGUAAUUAUCUACGGCAGCUAAGUGUAAACAUGCAGAAUAUUCUGAAUUGGUAAUGAUUCAUAUUUCCAUUUUUCUGUUGACUGACUAUAGAAAAUUAAUUAGCAUUUAAUGGAAUCUUGGUCCCAUAUGUGAUCAAACAUGAAUCCGAGGAGGAGGACUAGAGUCUGUGAGUACUCGACUUAGCUGGUAGCAGCGUCACAGACCACAUAGGACUGAG